AUUGAACGCUGGCGGCAUGCUUUACACAUGCAAGUCGAACGGUAACAGGCCGCAAGGUGCUGACGAGUGGCGAACGGGUGAGUAAUGCAUCGGAACGUGCCCAGUCGUGGGGGAUAACGCAGCGAAAGCUGUGCUAAUACCGCAUACGAUCUAUGGAUGAAAGCGGGGGACCGUAAGGCCUCGCGCGAUUGGAGCGGCCGAUGUCAGAUUAGGUAGUUGGUGGGGUAAAGGCUCAACAAGCCAACGAUCUGUAGCUGGUCUGAGAGGACGACCAGCCACACUGGGGCUGAGACACGGCCCAGACUCCUACGGGAGGCAGCAGUGGGGAAUUUUGGACAAUGGGCGCAAGCCUGAUCCAGCAAUGCCGCGUGCAGGAAGAAGGCCUUCGGGUUGUAAACUGCUUUUGUACGGAACGAAAAGGUUUGGGUUAAUACCCUGGGCCGAUGACGGUACCGUAAGAGUAAGCACCGGCUAACUACGUGCCAGCAGCCGCAGUAA
rnacentral:rRNA from 1 species